rnacentral:rRNA from 1 species
GACGAACGCUGGCGGCGUGCCUAAUACAUGCAAGUAGAACGCUGAAGGAGGAGCUUGCUUCUCUGGAUGAGUUGCGAACGGGUGAGUAACGCGUAGGUAACCUGCCUGGUAGCGGGGGAUAACUAUUGGAAACGAUAGCUAAUACCGCAUAAGAGUAGAUGUUGCAUGACAUUUGCUUAAAAGGUGCAAUUGCAUCACUACCAGAUGGAGCUGCGUUGUAUUAGCUAGUUGGUGAGGUAACGGCUCAACAAGGCAACGAUACAUAGCCGACCUGGGAGGGGGAUCCGCCACACUGGGACUGGGACACGGCCCAGAAUUCUACGGGAGGCAGCAGUAGGGAAUCUUCGGCAAUGGACGGAAGGCUGACCGAGCAACGCCGCGUGAGUGAAGAAGGGUCUCGGAUCGUAAAGCUCUGUUGUAAGAGAAGAACGAGUGUGAGAGUGGAAAGUUCACACUGUGACGGUAUCUUAUCAGAAAGGGACGGCUAACUACGUG